rnacentral:rRNA from 1 species
UGGGGAAUUUUGGACAAUGGGCGAAAGGCCUGAUCCCAGCAAUGCCGCGUGUGUGAAGAAGGCCUUCGGGUUGUAAGCACUUUUGUCCGGAAAGAAAUCCUUGGCUCUAAUACAGUCGGGGGAUGACGGUACCGGAAGAAUAAGCACCGGCUAACUACGUGCCAGCAGCCGCGGUAAUACGUAGGGUGCAAGCGUUAAUCGGAAUUACUGGGCGUAAAGCGUGCGCAGGCGGUUUGCUAAGACCGAUGUGAAAUCCCCGGGCUCAACCGGGAACUGCAUUGGUGACUGGCAGGCUAGAGUAUGGCAGAGGGGGGUAGAUCCACGUGUAGCAGUGAAAUGCGUAGAGAUGUGGAGGAAUACCGAUGGCGAAGGCA